UACGAACCGAGCGAACGUUGUUCGGAAUAACUGGGCUUAAAGGGCGCGCAGGCGGGCCGCCAAGUUCGAGGUGAAAUCCUCCGGCUCAACCGGAGAACUGCCUCGAAUACUGGAGGCCUCGAGGCGGGUAGGGGCACGCGGAACUGUGGGUGGAGCGGUGAAAUGCGUUGAUAUCCACAGGAACUCCGGUGGCGAAGGCGGCGUGCUGGACCCGAUCUGACGCUGAGGCGCGAAAGCCAGGGGAGCAAACGGG
rnacentral:rRNA from 1 species